rnacentral:rRNA from 1 species
GAACUUAGCAGAGAUGCUUUGGUGCCUUCGGGAACUCUGAGACAGGUGCUGCAUGGCUGUCGUCAGCUCGUGUUGUGAAAUGUUGGGUUAAGUCCCGNAACGAGCGCAACCCUUAUCCUUUGUUGCCAGCGGUUCGGCCGGGAACUCAAAGGAGACUGCCGGUGAUAAACCGGAGGAAGGUGGGGAUGACGUCAGGUCAUCAUGGCCCUUACGGCCAGGGCUACACACGUGCUACAAUGGCGCAUACAAAGAGAAGCGACCUCGCGAGAGCAAGCGGACCUCAUAAAGUGCGUCGUAGUCCGGAUUGGAGUCUGCAACUCGACUCCAUGAAGUCGGAAUCGCUAGUAAUCGUAGAUCAGAAUGCUACGGUGAAUACGUUCCCGGGCCUUGUACACACCGCCCGUCACACCAUGGGAGUGGGUUGCAAAAGAAGUAGGUAGCUUAACCUUCGGGAGGGCGCUUACCACUUUGUGAUUCAUGACUGGGGUGAAGUCGUAACAAGGUAAGCGUAGCGAG